rnacentral:rRNA from 1 species
CAGUCGCCGCGGUAAUACGUAUGUCGCGAGCGUUAUCCGGAAUUAUUGGGCAUAAAGGGCAUCUAGGCGGCCUAACAAGUCAGGGGUGAAAACCUGCGGCUCAACCGCAGGCCUGCCUUUGAAACUGUAAGGCUGGAGUACCGGAGAGGUGGACGGAACUGCACGAGUAGAGGUGAAAUUCGUAGAUAUGUGCAGGAAUGCCGAUGAUGAAGAUAGUCCACUGGACGGAAACUGACGCUGAAGUGCGAAAGCCGGGGGAGCGAACAGGAUUAGAUACCCCAGUAGUCCCUGUCUCUUAUAC